rnacentral:tRNA from 1 species
GGGGAUAUAGCUCAGCUGGUAGAGCACAACAUUUGCAAUGUUGGGGUCGCCGGUUCGAAUCCGACUAUCUCCACCA